rnacentral:rRNA from 1 species
CACGUAUUUAGCCGGGGCUUCUUAGUCAGGUACCGUCAUUUUCUUCCCUGCUGAUAGGGCUUUACAUACCGAAGUACUCCAUCGCCCACGCGGCGUCGCUGCAUCAGGGUUCCCCCCAUUGUGCAAUAUCCCCCACUGCUGCCUCCCGUAAGAGUCUGGGCCGUGUCUCAGUCCCAAUGUGGCCGUCCACCCUCUCAGGCCGGCUACUGAUCGUCGCCUUGGUCGGCCGUUACCCCGCCAACAAGCUAAUCAGACGCGAGCCCAUCCUGCACCAUAUUACUUUCCACACCGCCCCAUGCGGGGCUGUGCGCCUAUGCGGUAUUAGCAGCCGUUUCCAGCUGUUGUCCCCCAGUGCAGGGCAGGUUGCUCACGCGUUACUCACCCGUCCGCCACUAGGCAGCCGCCAACUUUCCGCUACCGAAAGUUUUCCAGUCGGCCGCCGUCCCCGUCGACUUGCCAUGUGUUAGGCGACGCCGCCAGCGUUCGACUCCUGGACGCCGAGGACUACAAACUUCC